GGUUGUCCACAAAGGAGAAAUGAAUUUUACUCACGAAACAUUCUAAGAGUGGGCUAAGGAUCUGUCUGUCCCCUACAAAAUUUACCAUGGAGGUCAUUUGCUCUGUAUAAAAAUAAAGAAUGGCACCCCUAAAAAAGACCUUCCACAGAGUGUAAAAGGGCAGGGCAGGUUGAAGGAAGAGGUCUUAAAGGGCAAAUACUUUGUAAAAUAUGAAGAAGGAAAACUCCUUGAUCCCACAGACUGGAAAACUAACUCAAAGAACACAUUGAGGAGGAU